rnacentral:lncRNA from 1 species
UAGGUUUGUCAUGCGAGAAAUCUACUUUACUUCUGAAUAACCUGUGUCUGGUUAGGAAGACUAAGGUGGAAACAAAUGGCUCCAUCCCAUUCGAGAUGACACAUGAAGCUCAAAAAAAUGGGAACUUUGGGCUGGUUGGAAGUCAAGGUGUUUAAAAUGUGUCUUCGCAUUUUCUGCAUAACUGGAUCCUAGCUCAUUAAGGAUCUCCUGUG